GAUGAACGCUGGCGGCGUGCCUAAUACAUGCAAGUCGAGCGAACAGACGAGGAGCUUGCUCCUCUGACGUUAGCGGCGGACGGGUGAGUAACACGUGGAUAACCUACCUAUAAGACUGGGAUAACUUCGGGAAACCGGAGCUAAUACCGGAUAAUAUAUUGAACCGCAUGGUUCAAUAGUGAAAGACGGUUUUGCUGUCACUUAUAGAUGGAUCCGCGCCGCAUUAGCUAGUUGGUAAGGUAACGGCUUACCAAGGCGACGAUGCGUAGCCGACCUGAGAGGGUAGUCGGACACAGUGGAACUGAGAAGCGGGCCAAACCCCAGAGGGGGGCAGGAGGAGGAAAAUUGCCGAAAAGGGAAAAAACCUGAAGGAACAACGGCGGGGGAGUGAGAAAGGGCUUCGGAUCGAAAAACACUGUUAUUAGGGAAAAAAAAAGGUGUAAGUAACGAUGCAAGGCUGGAGGGAACCAAAGAAGAAAACCCGGGUAAACUACGG
rnacentral:rRNA from 1 species